rnacentral:rRNA from 1 species
GACGAACGCUGGCGGCGUGCCUAAUACAUGCAAGUAGAACGCACAGUUUAUACCGUAGCUUGCUACACCAUAGACUGUGAGUUGCGAACGGGUGAGUAACGCGUAGGUAACCUGCCUGGUAGCGGGGGAUAACUAUUGGAAACGAUAGCUAAUACCGCAUAAUAUUAAUUAUUGCAUGAUAAUUAAUUGAAAGGUGCAAUUGCACCACUACCAGAUGGACCUGCGUUGUAUUAGCUAGUAGGUGAGGUAACGGCUCACCUAGGCGACGAUACAUAGCCGACCUGAGAGGGUGAUCGGCCACACUGGGACUGAGACACGGCCCAGACUCCUACGGGAGGCAGCAGUAGGGAAUCUUCGGCAAUGGACGAAAGUCUGACCGAGCAACGCCGCGUGAGUGAAGAAGGUUGUCGGAUCGUAAAGCUCUGUUGUAAGAGAAGAACGGGGGUGAGAGUGGAAAGUUCACACUGUGACGGUAUCUUACCAGAAAGGGACGGCUAACUACGUG